GUGGGGAAUAUUGCACAAUGGGGGAAACCCUGAUGCAGCAACGCCGCGUGAGUGAAGAAGUAUUUCGGUAUGUAAAGCUCUAUCAGCAGGGAAGAUAAUGACGGUACCUGACUAAGAAGCCCCGGCUAACUACGUGCCAGCAGCCGCGGUAAUACGUAGGGGGCAAGCGUUAUCCGGAUUUACUGGGUGUAAAGGGAGCGCAGGCGGCAGGGCAAGUCAGAUGUGAAAGCCCGGGGCUCAACCCCGGGACUGCAUUUGAAACUGUCCAGCUGGAGUACAGGAGAGGCAGGCGGAAUUCCUAGUGUAGCGGUGAAAUGCGUAGAUAUUAGGAGGAACACCAGUGGCGAAGGCGGCCUGCUGGACUGUAACUGACGCUGAGGCUCGAAAGCGUGGGGAGCAAACAGG
rnacentral:rRNA from 1 species